CCUACGGGAGGCAGCAGUGGGGAAUAUUGCGCAAUGGGCGAAAGCCUGACGCAGCGACGCCGCGUGAGGGAUGAAGGUCUUCGGAUCGUAAACCUCUGUCAGCAGGGAAGAACGGUCACUGUGCUAGUCAGCAGUGACUUGACGGUACCUGCACAGGACGCACCGGCUAACUCAGUGGCAGCAGCUGCGGUAAUACGGAGGGGGCGAGCGUUAAUCGGAUUCAGUGGGUGUAAAGCGAGCGUAGGCGGAAUGUCACGUCAAGAGUGAAAGUCGCGGGCUCAACCGGGGAACUGCCUUGGAAACUGGCUAGCUGGAGUGUGUGAGAGGCAGGUGGAAUUCCCGGUGUAGGAGUGAAAUCCGGAGAUAUCAGGAGGAACACCAGUGGCGAAGGCGACUAUCUGGAACAAAACUGACGCUGAGGAGCGAAAGCGUGGGUAGCAAACAGGAUUAGAUACCCUUGUAGUC
rnacentral:rRNA from 1 species